rnacentral:rRNA from 1 species
GCAUAUCAAUAAGCGGAGGAAAAGAAAAUAACAAUGAUUCCCCCAGUAACGGCGAGUGAACAGGGAAAAGCUCAAAGUUGGAAGCUCCUGGCCCUAGGCUAGGCGCAUUGUAAACUAAAGCUGUAAAGUAGUACGGUUGGCCUGGUAAAAAAGUUCCCUGGAAUGGGGCGACAUGGAGGGUGAAAUCCCCGUCUUUGGCCAGAGCUCAGCUGUGCGUUUGCUUUGCUGCGAAGAGUCAGGUUGUUUGGGAAUGCAGCCUAAAAUGGGAGGUAGACUUCUCCUAAAGCUAAAUAUUGACGAAAGACCGAUAGCGAACAAGUACCGUGAGGGAAAGAUGAAAAGCACUUUGAAAAGAGGGUCAAAAAGUACGUGAAAUUGCUAAAAGGGAACCGUAUGAAAUCAGCCUGAUGUGUGGGUAAUCAGCCUGGGCUUUGGCCUGGGUGCACUUGCCCAUGUAUUAGCCUGCGACAGUUUGACUUGGGGGAAAAAAGAUGGGGGAAUGUGGCCUCGGCUUCGGUUGAGGUGUUAUAGCCCCUGUCAAAAUACCUUGGGUUGGACUGAGGACUGCAGCGAGCCGUAAGGCAUGGGUCUCGGGCGCUCUGUCUCGGCGAAAAGUGAAUCUCUGCCUCGGGUGGUGCGCUUUUCGUCAGGGCAGACCCGUCUGUUUCUUCUUUCUCUCGCUUAGGUCGUAGGCAUAAUGAUUUUAUAUGACCCGUCUUGAAACACGGACCAAGGAGUCCACCAUAGUUGCGAGUCUUUGAGUGUAAAAACCCAUGGGCGUAAGGAAACUGACCAAGAUAUGAAGGCUUUGGCUGGCAAUAUCCUCCGGCGAGGACGUUUUAACUGAAUUGACCGAGAGAAAGCACCUAUGAUGGGACCCGAAAGAUGGUGAACUAUACUUGAAUAGGGUGAAGCCAGAGGAAACUCUGGUGGAAGCUCGUAGCGAUUCUGACGUGCAAAUCGAUCGUCAAAUUUGAGUAUAGGGGCGAAAGACUAAUCGAACCAUGCAGAGCCGUCCC